GAUGAACGCUGGCGGCGUGCCUAAUACAUGCAAGUCGAGCGAACGGACGAGAAGUUUGCUUUUCUGAUGUUAGCGGCGGACGGGUGAGUAACACGUGGAUAACCUACCUAUAAGACUGGGAUAACUUCGGGAAACCGGAGCUAAUACCGGAUAAUAUUUUGAACCGCAGGGUUCAAAAGUGAAAGACGGUCUUGCUGUCACUUAUAGAUGGAUCCGCGCUGCAUUAGCUAGUUGGUAAGGUAACGGCUUACCAAGGCAACGAUGCAUAGCCGACCUGAGAGGGUGAUCAGCCACACUGGAACUGAGACACGGUCCAGACUCCUACGGGAGGCAGCAGUAGGGAAUCUUCCACAAUGGGCGAAAGCCUGACGGAGCAACGCCGCGUGAGUGAUGAAGGUCUUCGGAUUGUAAAACUCUGUUAUUAGGGAAGAACAUAUGUGUAAGUAACUGUGCACAUCUUGACGGUACCUAAUCAGAAAGCCACGGCUAACUACGUG
rnacentral:rRNA from 1 species